GAUGAACGCUGGCGGCGUGCCUAAUACAUGCAGGUAGAACGCUGAAGGAAGGAGCUUGCUCUUUCCGGAUGAGUUGCGCACGGGUGAGUAACGCGUAGGUAACCUGCCUGGUAGCGGGGGAUAACUAUUGGAAACGAUAGCUAAUACCGCAUAACAGUAGAUGUUGCAUGAUAUCUACUUAAAAGGUGCAAUUGCACCACUACCAGAUGGACCUGCGUUGUAUUAGCUAGUUGGUGAGGUAACGGCUCACCAAGGCGACGAUACAUAGCCGACCUGAGAGGGGGGUCGGCCACACUGGGACGGAGACACGGCCCAGACGCCUACGGGAGGCAGCAGGAGGGAAUCUUCGGCAAUGGGCGGAAGUCUGACCGGGCAACGCCGCGGGAGUGAAGAAGGUUGUCGGAUCGGAAAGCUCUGUUGUAAGAGAAGAACGAGUGUGAGAGUGGAAAGUUCACACUGUGACGGUAUCUUACCAGAAAGGGACGGCUAACUACGUG
rnacentral:rRNA from 1 species